rnacentral:rRNA from 1 species
UACGGGGGGGGCAGCGUUGUUCGGAAUUACUGGGCGUAAAGGGCUCGUAGGCGGCCAACUAAGUCAGACGUGAAAUCCCUAGGCUCAACCUAGGAACUGCGUCUGAUACUGGAUGGCUUGAAUCCGGGAGAGGGAUGCAGAAUUCCAGGUGUAGCGGUGAAAUGCGUAGAUAUCUGGAGGAAUACCGGUGGCGAAGGCGGCAUCCUGGACCGGCAUUGACGCUGAGGAGCGAAAGCCAGGGGAGCAAACGGG